rnacentral:rRNA from 1 species
UACGUAGGGUGCGAGCGUUGUCCGGAAUUAUUGGGCGUAAAGAGCUCGUAGGCGGUGUGUCACGUCGGCCGUGAAAUCCCAGGGCUCAACCCUGGAACUGCCUUUGAUACUGACGAUCUGGAGAUCGGGAGAGGUUGGUGGAAUUCCGAGUGUAGAGGUGAAAUUCGUAGAUAUUCGGAGGAACACCAGAAGCGAAGGCGGCCAACUGGCCCGAUACUGACGCUGAGGCGCGAAAGCGUGGGGAGCAAACAGG